rnacentral:rRNA from 1 species
AGCAGCCGCCACGGUAAUACGGAGGGUGCAAGCGUUAAUCGGAAUUACUGGGCGUAAAGCGCACGCAGGCGGUCUGACAAGUCAGAUGUGAAAUCCCCGGGCUUAACCUGGGAACUGCAUUUGAAACUGUCAGGCUGGAGUCUUGUAGAGGGGGGUGGAAUUCCAGGUGUAGCGGUGAAAUGCGUAGAGAUCUGGAGGAAUACCGGUGGCGAAGGCGGCCCCCUGGACAAAGACUGACGCUCAGGUGCGAAAGCGUGGGGAGCAAACAGGAUUAGAUACCCGAGUAGUCCCUGUCUCUUAUAA